rnacentral:rRNA from 1 species
UACGUAGGGUGCAAGCGUUGUCCGGAAUUAUUGGGCGUAAAGAGCUCGUAGGCGGUUUGUCGCGUCUGCCGUGAAAGUCCGGGGCUCAACUCCGGAUCUGCGGUGGGUACGGGCAGACUAGAGUGAUGUAGGGGAGACUGGAAUUCCUGGUGUAGCGGUGGAAAUGCGCAGAUAUCAGGAGGAACACCGAUGGCGAAGGCAGGUCUCUGGGCAUUAACUGACGCUGAGGAGCGAAAGCAUGGGGAGCGAACAGG